CAGAGUAGGUAUCCGCGCGUUGGAUCGGUACUGUAUUGUGCCGGUCGGGGGAGAUGUUUUAUACAUUCCCUUCAGUAUCGUCUAUACGGGGAGUUGAUAGACGGGCGAAGUGUGUACUGACAGAUUUAUAUAAUCUGAUUUCAGUCACCGCGGUGCGGAUACCGCAUCCCGCUGU
rnacentral:ncRNA from 1 species